rnacentral:rRNA from 1 species
AUUGAACGCUGGCGGCAGGCCUAACACAUGCAAGUCGAGCGGCAGCGGGAAGUAGCUUGCUACUUUGCCGGCGAGCGGCGGACGGGUGAGUAAUGCCUGGGGAUCUGCCCAAUCGAGGGGGAUAACUACUGGAAACGGUAGCUAAUACCGCAUACGCCCUACGGGGGAAAGCAGGGGACCUUUUGGCCUUGCGCGAUUGGAUGAACCCAGGUGGGAUUAGCUUGUUGGUGAGGUAACGGCUCACCAAGGCGACGAUCCCUAGCUGGUCUGAGAGGAUUAUCAGCCACACUGGAACUGAGACACGGUCCAGACUCCUACGGGAGGCAGCAGUGGGGAAUAUUGCACAAUGGGGGAAACCCUGAUGCAGCCAUGCCGCGUGUGUGAAGAAGGCCUUCGGGUUGUAAAGCACUUUCAGCGAGGAGGAAGGGGAGUGAGCUAAUACCUUACUUCAUUGACGUUACUCGCAGAAGAAGCACCGGCUAACUCCGUGCCAGCCGCCGCGGUAA